rnacentral:rRNA from 1 species
CAGUAGCCACGGUAAUACGAGGGGGGCAAGCGUUGUUCGGAAUUAUUGGGCGUAAAGGGUGCGUAGGCGGUUUGGCAAGUCUUAUGUGAAAUCUUCGGGCUCAACCCGAAGUCUGCAUGAGAAACUGCCGGGCUUGAGUAUGGGAGAGGUGAGUGGAAUUUCCGGUGUAGCGGUGAAAUGCGUAGAUAUCGGAAGGAACACCUGUGGCGAAAGCGGCUCACUGGACCAUAACUGACGCUGAGGCACGAAGGCUAGGGGAGCAAACAGGAUUAGAUACCCCGGUAGUCCCUGUCUCUUAUAC